UACGUAGGUGGCAAGCGAUACUCGGAAUCACUAGGCGUAAAGCGCAGGUAGGCGGUUCGAUAAGUCUGUUGUGAAAGCUCCCGGCUUAACUGGGAGAGGUCAACGGAAACUGUCGGGCUAGAGUGUGGUAGAGGUAGCUGGAAUUCCCGGUGUAGCGGUGAAAUGCGCAGAUAUCAGGAAGAACACCCGUGGCGAAGGCGGCUCUCUGGGACGGUACUGACGCUGAGACGCGAAAGCGUGGGGAGCGAACAGG
rnacentral:rRNA from 1 species